rnacentral:rRNA from 1 species
AGCAGCCGCGGUAAUUCCAGCUCCAAUAGCGUAUAUUAAAGUUGUUGCAGUUAAAAAGCUCGUAGUUGAAUUUCGGGGUUAGUAGGUCGGUCGUGCCACUGGUAUGCACUGGUUCUACUGAUCCCUCCUUCUUGUAGAACCGUAAUGCCAUUAAUUUGGUGUUGCGGGGAAACAGGACUGUUACUUUGAAAAAAUUAGAGUGUUUAAAGCAGGCUAACGCUUGAAUACAUUAGCAUGGAAUAAUGGAAUAGGACGUUUGAUCCUAUUUUGUUGGUUUCUAGGAUUGACGUAAUGAUUAAUAGGGAUAGUUGGGGGCACUAGUAUUCAAUUGUCAGAGGUGAAAUUCUUGGAUUUAUUGAAGACUAACUACUGCGAAAGCAUUUGCCAAGGAUGUUUUCAUUAAUCAAGAACGAAAGUUAGGGGAUCGAAGACGAUCAGAUACCGUCGUAGUCUUAACCAUAAACUAUGCCGACUAGGGAUCGGAUGACGUUAAUUUUUUAAUGACUCA